CCUACGGGAGGCAGCAGUGAGGAAUAUUGGGCAAUGGGCGAAAGACUGAACCAGCCACGCCGCGUGAGGGAGGAAGGUCCAGAGUAUCGUAAACCUCUUUUGUCAGGGAACAAAGUCGGGGACGUGUCCCCUGAUGAGUGUACCUUACGAACAAGCAUCGGAUAACUCCGUGCCAUCAGCCGCGGUAAUACGGGGGGUGCGGGGGGUGUCCGGAUUUGUUGGGUUUAGAGGGUGCUGAGGCGGGCUGUUAUGUCAAGGGUUAAAGCCCCGGGCUCAACCCCGGGACGGCCGUUGAAACGGGCAGUCUCGAGUGGGAGAGAAGUAGGCGGAAUGCGCGGUGUAGCGGUGAAAUGCAUAGAUAUCGCGCAGAACACCGAUUGCGAAGGCAGCAUGCCGGCUCCAAACUGACGCUGAGGCACGAAAGCGUGGGUAGCGAACAGGAUUAGAUACCCGGGUAGUC
rnacentral:rRNA from 1 species